AUUGAACGCUGGCGGCAGGCCUAACACAUGCAAGUCGAACGAGUGGCGGACGGGUGAGUAAUGUCGGGGAAAAUGCCUGAUGGAGGGGGAUAACUACUGGAAACGGUAGCUAAUACCGCAUACAAUCGGAUGUGCCCAGAUGGGAUUCGCUAGUAGGUGGGGUAACGGCUCACCUAGGCGACAGUGCCUAGCUGGUCUGCGAGGAUGACCCGCCACACUGGAACUGAGAAACGGUCCAGACGCCUCCGGGAGGCAGCAGUGGGUAAUAUUGCACAAUGGGCGCAAGCCUGAUGCAGCCAGGCCGCGUGUAUGAAGAAGGCCUUCGGGUUGUAAAAUACUUUCAGCGGGGAGGCGUUACCCGCAGAAGAAGCCCCGGCUAACUCCGUGCCAGCAGCCGCGGUAAUUC
rnacentral:rRNA from 1 species